rnacentral:rRNA from 1 species
GCCUACGGGGGGCAGCAGUAGGGAAUCUUCCACAAUGGGCGAAAGCCUGAUGGAGCAACGCCGCGUGGGUGAAGAAGGUCUUCGGAUCGUAAAACCCUGUUGUUAGAGAAGAAAGUGCGUGAGAGUAACUGUUCACAUCUCGACGGUAUCUAACCAGAAAGCCACGGCUAACUACGUGCCAGCAGCCGCGGUAAUACGUAGGUGGCAAGCGUUAUCCGGAUUUAUUGGGCGUAAAGGGAACGCAGGCGGUCUUUUAAAUCUGAUGUGAAAGCCUUCGGCUUAACCGGAGUAGUGCAUUGGAAACU